rnacentral:rRNA from 1 species
AGAGUUUGAUCAUGGCUCAGAUUGAACGCUGGCGGAAUGCUUUACACAUGCAAGUCGAACGGCAGCACGGACUUCGGUCUGGUGGCGAGUGGCGAACGGGUGAGUAAUAUAUCGGAACGUAUCCAAUAAUGGGGGAUAACUAAUCGAAAGGUUGGCUAAUACCGCAUACGCCCUACGGGGGAAAGCAGGGGAUCUUCGGACCUUGCGUUAAUGGAGCGGCUGAUAUCUGAUUAGCUAGUUGGUGAGGUAAAGGCUCACCAAGGCGACGAUCAGUAGCUGGUCUGAGAGGACGACCAGCCACACUGGAACUGAGACACGGUCCAGACUCCUACGGGAGGCAGCAGUGGGGAAUUUUGGACAAUGGGCGCAAGCCUGAUCCAGCCAUUCCGCGUGAGUGAAGAAGGCCUUCGGGUUGUAAAGCUCUUUCGCAAGGGAAGAAAACUUACUUUCUAAUAAAGAGUGAGGUUGACGGUACCUUGAUAAGAAGCACCGGCUAACUACGUGCCAGCAGCCGCGGUAAUACGUAGGGUGCGAGCGUUAAUCGGAAUUACUGGGCGUAAAGCGUGCGCAGGCGGUUUUGUAAGUCAGAUGUGAAAUCCCCGAGCUCAACUUGGGAACUGCGUUUGAAACUACAAGGCUAGAAUAUGUCAGAGGGGGGUAGAAUUCCACGUGUAGCAGUGAAAUGCGUAGAGAUGUGGAGGAAUACCAAUGGCGAAGGCAGCCCCCUGGGAUAAUAUUGACGCUCAUGCACGAAAGCGUGGGGAGCAAACAGGAUUAGAUACCCUGGUAGUCCACGCCCUAAACGAUGUCUACUAGUUGUUGGGUCUUCACUGACUCAGUAACGAAGCUAACGCGUGAAGUCAGCCGCCUGGGGAGUACGGUCGCAAGAUUAAAACUCAAAGGAAUUGACGGGGACCCGCACAAGCGGUGGAUGAUGUGGAUUAAUUCGAUGCAACGCGAAAAACCUUACCUACCCUUGACAUGCCACUAACGAAGUAGAGAUACAUUAGGUGCCCGUAAGGGAAAGUGGACACAGGUGCUGCAUGGCUGUCGUCAGCUCGUGUCGUGAGAUGUUGGGUUAAGUCCCGCAACGAGCGCAACCCUUGUCUUUAGUUGCUACGCAAGAGCACUCUAAAGAGACUGCCGGUGACAAACCGGAGGAAGGUGGGGAUGACGUCAAGUCCUCAUGGCCCUUACGUGUUGGGCUACACACGUGCUACAAUGGUAUCUACAACAGGAAGCAAGACUGCGAGGUCAAGCAAAUCCUUAAAAGAUACCUCAGUUCGGAUUGCACUCUGCAACUCGAGUGCAUGAAGCUGGAAUUACUAGUAAUCGUGGAUCAGCGUGCCACGGUGAAUGCGUUCCCGGGUCUUGUACACACCGCCCGUCACACCAUGGGAGUUGGUUCUACCUUAAG